CAGCAUUCAGUAAAACUUAAGUCAGACGAUCCCGUCCAUAAGAAGCCGUAUCCUGUGCCCUACGCACUGAGGGAACGCAUGCAGAAAGAGAUAGAUAAUAUGACCGAGAUGAUAUUGGAAUCUACAGUGAGACUUGGGACGAUCAUCUCCAGCAUUUGAGAGUAGUUUUCCAGCGAUUGAGGGAUGCAAAGUUGUCUGCAAAGCCAUCUAAGUGUUGUUUUGGGUUUGAUCAACUAGAAUUUCUGGGACAUGUGGUCGGAAAAGGUAUUGUCUCUCCUAAGCAAAGUAACGUUCAGGCAAUUCAGAAAUUCCCUGUUCCUACUACAAAAAAGCAUGUUCGAUCAUUUUUAGGGACCAUAGGCUUUUACCGGAAAUUCAUUCCACAUUUUUCAGAACUAGCUUCACCUUUGUUUGAUCUUACUAGAAAGAAAGGUUGUUCUAAGAUAGUUUGGCUUCCAGUGCAUCAGAAGGCUUUUGAUUCAUUAAAGAAUGCUAUAGCUAGUAACCCAGUGUUGCGUAGUCCAGAUUUUAGUAAGUUGUUCUAUCUGCGCACUGAUGCAUCAGAUUGUGGAGUUGGGGCGGUAUUAGAACAGAAUUUUGAAGAUGGUAGACAUCCAAUUCUUUAUCUCAGUAAGAAAUUGUCAGAUACUGAAAAGAGAUACGCAGUGAUUGAAAAAGAAUGUUUUGCAAUUAUCUGGAGUAUUAAGUCGCUCAGAGUUUUUCUUGAAGGUCGAUCAUUUGUGGUUGAGUCUGAUCAUGCUCCACUGCAGUGGCUAGAUAGAAUAAAGAUGACAAAUCAGAGGUUACUUCGUUGGAGUUUGACACUUCAAGAGUUCAAUUUUGAGGUUGUUCAUGUAAAGGGGAAAGAUAAUGUUGUUGCAGAUUAUUUGUCGAGAAUAGAUUCAUCCUCUUGAAAUUGUGUAAAUAUUUAGAGAUGGUUUGUUAUUUUGUGUUGUAUGUUUGACAUUUAGUGUUAUCAAGUUCGUUAGAGUUUUGGUCGGACUAAUGGCAUUAGUCUUCUAAAUGGGGACGUUUGUAACGUACUUGAUAUGAUUGUAAAUAUAUAUGUUUGAAUUUCCCGCUUUUCUUUUUACUCUCUAAACCUGUCACUGGAGUGACGUGUACACGGCUAAUUUUAAAUACCGCACUCCAGUCCGUGCAGUCCAGCAGAGUGGACGUGUGUCUAUUUAGAGGCACGUGGUAGUCACCAAGAUUGGGAAAUUCUCCCUACUUUGUUCAUUUCCGAAUGUUUGUCACCAUUUUCAAGGGGAUGACGGUUUAUACCAGCUGAAUUGUGACUACAAAGUCGGAGACGAGUACGGAGCGCCAGACCCGCCAUUUUCCAUCCAUAUCGGGGACACGUGGCGUCGAUGUACGUGUAUGGUGUAUGGUGACCGGGAGCGGUCUACGCUGGAGACGUUGGUAUAUGUGUGUUGUGUUGUGGUGUCCUAACGUACCGGAGCAACGGUUGUGUCAUCUGUCCGUGUGUCUGUGUGUCCGUGUGUUGGUCUAUGUGAUGUCCGGGGUUUGGGUGAAAAGUCACCGGAAAUAUACCGAGGAACCAGGAAAGGAAAUGUGACGAAAUUUAUUGAAAUUUCACUUUCAUUGUUUUGAAUAUUUGGUUCUCGUAUAAUUGUAGUGAUAUUUUUGUGAAAUUGAUUUGAAAGUUGAUAAACGAAUUUAGAGAAAUUAUUUGAAAAUCUAAAUAUAUGUGAAUCAAUUUAAGUGUUUAAAUUUUGGAAAGAAUAUUUUGUUUUGAAGUCAAUUUAAAGAUUUGUUGUUGAAAUUAGAGUCGACUCUCUCUUUUAGAAUCUGGUUUAAUAUUUCUUUCAUUUAUUUUUUUUCUUGUAUGUAUUUUUUUUCUUAUUAAAUAUUUGUUUGUUUA